rnacentral:misc_RNA from 1 species
GAGUGGUGUUUGGUUUGUUACGUGUGGUUGGCUGCGGCGUUUGCAACAACUUCCAUGCUCUCAGACCUCUUCAGUUGUGCGGCAAGGCUUGUAUCGCCUUGAGCGUAUCGUGGGUUUUCUGUGUUGGCUACCUAAUCGACGGUAUCGUUUGGAUUGAUCAAAGUGUGAUUUCGUCUUCCGUCGCGUUUGCGGCGUGAGGUGAACCUUGACGCGGUCUCUUUGAUCCAUCUCGUCGAAGCAUAUGCUUUGACGUUGUGGCACAUUGGGCAUUGCUUGGUCUCUUGUGUACGGAACACGUAGCGGGCAUGGAUCUAACGAUUCUUGUUUGCCCUCAUAUUAGCGUAACGCUUCUCAAACACGACUUGCAUCGCGUUUUAGCUCGUAC